rnacentral:rRNA from 1 species
GAUGAACGCUGGCGGCGUGCCUAAUACAUGCAAGUCGAGCGAACAGAUGAUGAGCUUGCUCCUCUGACGUUAGCGGCGGACGGGUGAGUAACACGUGUAUAACCUACCUAUAAGUCUGGUAUCACUUCGGGAAACCGGAGCUAAUACCGUAUAAUAUAUUGAUCCGCAUGGUUCAAUGGUAAAAUUCGGUUUUGCUGUCACUUCUAGCUGCUUCCGGGCUGCAUGGGCUAGUUGGUAGGGUCACGGCCUUCCAAGGCAACGAUGCGUAGCCGACCUGAGAGAGGGAUAGCCCACACUGGAAGUGGGCCAGGGACAAGAGUACUGAGGGAGGGAGCAGUAGGGAAUGUUCGGCAAUGGGCGAAAGCCUGACGGAGCGGCGCGGAGUGAGUGAUGAAGGUGUUGGGAUCGGAAAACCCGGUUAUUGGGGAAGAACAAAUGUGGACGUAAAUAUGGCCGGAUUGACGGUAAUUAAUAAGAAAGCAACGGCUAACUACGUG